rnacentral:rRNA from 1 species
UACGAGGGGGGCAAAUGUUGUUCGGAAUCACUGGGCGUAAAGGGAGCGUAGGCGGGUUUUUAAGUCAGGUGUUUAAUCCCGGGGCCCAACCCCGGACAGGCACUUGAAACUGGGAAUCUUGAAUAGUGGAGAGGUCGGUGGAAUUGGGGGUGUAGCGGUGGAAUGCGUAGAGAUCCCCAAGAACACCCGUUGCGGAGGCGGCCGACUGGACACAUAUUGACGCUGAGGCUCGAAAGCAUGGGGAGCAAACAGG